rnacentral:rRNA from 1 species
CAGGAUUAGAUACCCUGGUAGUCCACGCCGUAAACGAUGUCGACUUGGAGGUUGUGCCCUUGAGGCGUGGCUUCCGGAGCUAACGCGUUAAGUCGACCGCCUGGGGAGUACGGCCGCAAGGUUAAAACUCAAAUGAAUUGACGGGGGCCCGCACAAGCGGUGGAGCAUGUGGUUUAAUUCGAUGCAACGCGAAGAACCUUACCUACUCUUGACAUCCAGAGAACUUUCCAGAGAUGGAUUGGUGCCUUCGGGAACUCUGAGACAGGUGCUGCAUGGCUGUCGUCAGCUCGUGUUGUGAAAUGUUGGGUUAAGUCCCGCAACGAGCGCAACCCUUAUCCUUUGUUGCCAGCGGUCCGGCCGGGAACUCAAAGGAGACUGCCAGUGAUAAACUGGAGGAAGGUGGGGAUGACGUCAAGUCAUCAUGGCCCUUACGAGUAGGGCUACACACGUGCUACAAUGGCGCAUACAAAGAGAAGCGACCUCGCGAGAGCAAGCGGACCUCAUAAAGUGCGUCGUAGUCCGGAUUGGAGUCUGCAACUCGACUCCAUGAAGUCGGAAUCGCUAGUAAUCGUGGAUCAGAAUGCCACGGUGAAUACGU